UCAUGUAAAAUGAAACUGAGGAAGUACAAAAUUUGAAUGAUACCUUUAGAAAGAUUUCCAAGUUUAGUAGUAAAACAGAGUAUCCAAAUGAAAAAUCAGAGGAAAUAUGUAAGCUUACAUGGAAUUUGUCGUCCCCAUAGAGGUACAAUCCCCUUGUAAAGCCUGUAACAUAAAAAUUCAAAUUCCAAAUUUUCGUCAGCACAUAAGAAAACCCCUCACAUUAACAACAACAAAUUUGUUCAACAUAAACUAGGCAUUACCCUGCAGCUCCUUCAACCUUGACAAAUUUGGGAAGUCCAUCAGACAAGCCUCUAGCAAAUCCGGGCUGAGUUUGAACACGAACUUUGACAGCCUCAAAUGGGCAGAGAGCAACAUCAGCAAUAACUUCAGCAGAAGAAGAACCAGCAAGGUAAAUCAAAGUUUUGUAUUUGACAGCAUUCUCCGCGCCAGCAAGAUCUGAGUAGUACUUCUUGAAAUAUUCAUAGAAUCCGUAUUUGCAUGCUCCUUGUGCACUGUAACCAAGGAAAGUAGGUGCCCAACCCCUAAAUAAUCCUCUAAUGCCUUGCUCCUUAAGUAAAAUUCCGAAACCAGAGGAAAUACUCUUGAACUUUGCAGGAUCAAUCUGAUAAAUCAAACAUUUCAAUCAUGAAAACAUUAAAUCCAUCACUAAUCCAAUCUAUUCUGGAAAUUUGACGUUUUUUUUUUGUUCAUUUUGAUUUUCUCUUUCGGAUUUCAAAUCAGCUAACAAAGAACAGAGUGGAAGAGCAGAAAGCGCAUACGUGAAACAUCAGUCAAUAGAAAGAUUCUAGCUUUUUAAAAUUAGUAGAGGAUUGAUUGAUUAUGGUUGGAUUAAAAGAAACACACAAAAUCCAGUCUAAAAUGAACAAUUUUAUGCAAGUCUAAGCAUCGUCUUUUCAUGAUCGUUAUCUUUAAUUAUAAUUUAAGAGUUGAAGUUAUGUACAACCACAGUAAUAAAAAAUAAAUCGACACUAACUUUGCGAUUCAAGUGGUAAUAACAAAUUACCUAGCAUUUAGCACUUCUAUUUGUUGUUGUAGGUCACGUGACAUAUUAAGCGCCAAGGUUAAUUAGUAAUACUCAAAAAGUUAGAAAAUAGUAAAAUGUAUCCUCUGCUAUAGACUAUAGUAUCCCUAAUAUAUGUAUACCUGCAUGUUGCACUUGAUAAGAUCAAGAGGGGUAACAGCAGUGUGUGUAAGACAACAGCUUAGACUGCCAAAAAUGUCAUGAUAUGUUUAUGAGCACAAAUUCUACUAUUACUCGUAAAUACUAGUAGAAACUGAAUGACACAUUUACAAAGGUUUCCAAGUUUAUAAUAAAACAAGAGUAUCCAAAUGAAAAAUCAGAGGAAAUAUGUCAGCUUACAUGGAAUUUGUCGUCCCCAUAGAGGUACAAUCCCCUUGUAAAGCCUGUAACACAAACAUUCAAAUUCCAAAUUUUCGUCAGCAUAUAAGAAAAACCCUCAAAUUGACAACAACAAAUUUGUUCAACAUAAAAUAGGCAUUACCCCGCAGCUCCUUCAGCCUUGACAAAUUUGGGAAGUCCAUCAGACAAGCCUCUAGCAAAUCCGGGCUGAGUUUGAACACGAACUUUGACAGCCUCAAAUGGGCAGAGAGCAACAUCAGCAAUAACUUCAGCAGAAGCAGAACCAGCAAGGUAAAUCAAAGUUUUGUACUUGACAGCAUUCUCCGCGCCAGCAAGAUCUGAGUAAUACUUCUUGAAAUAUUCAUAAAAUCCGUAUUUACAUGCUCCUUGUGCACUGUAACCAAGGAAAGUAGGUGCCCAACCCCUAAAUAAUCCUCUAAUGCCUUGCUCCUUAAGUAAAAUUCCGAAACCAGAGGAUAUACUCUUGAACUUUGCAGGAUCAAUCUGAUAAAUCAAACAUUUCAAUCAUAAAAACAUUAAAUCCAUCACUAAUCCAAUCUAUUCUGGAAAUUUGAUGUUUUUUUUGUUCAUUUUCAUUUUGUCUUUCGAAUUUCAGAUCAACAAAUGAAAGAACAGAAUGGAAGAGCAAAAAUCACAGACAUGAACAUCUGUCAAUAGAAAGAUUAUAAUUUUUUUAAAUUAAUAGAGGAUUUGUUG
rnacentral:lncRNA from 1 species